rnacentral:rRNA from 1 species
GCUCAACCGGGGAGGGUCAUUGGAAACUGGGGAACUUGAGUGCAGAAGAGGAGAGUGGAAUUCCACGUGUAGCGGUGAAAUGCGUAGAGAUGUGGAGGAACACCAGUGGCGAAGGCGACUCUCUGGUCUGCAACUGACGCUGAGGCGCGAAAGCGUGGGGAGCGAACAGGAUUAGAUACCCUGGUAGUCCACGCCGUAAACGAUGAGUGCUAAGUGUUAGAGGGUUUCCGCCCUUUAGUGCUGCAGCAAACGCAUUAAGCACUCCGCCUGGGGAGUACGGUCGCAAGACUGAAACUCAAAGGAAUUGACGGGGGCCCGCACAAGCGGUGGAGCAUGUGGUUUAAUUCGAAGCAACGCGAAGAACCUUACCAGGUCUUGACAUCCUCUGACUACCCUAGAGAUAGGGCUUCCCCUUCGGGGGCAGAGUGACAGGUGGUGCAUGGUUGUCGUCAGCUCGUGUCGUGAGAUGUUGGGUUAAGUCCCGCAACGAGCGCAACCCUUGAUCUUAGUUGCCAGCAUUCAGUUGGGCACUCUAAGGUGACUGCCGGUGACAAACCGGAGGAAGGUGGGGAUGACGUCAAAUCAUCAUGCCCCUUAUGACCUGGGCUACACACGUGCUACAAUGGGCAGAACAAAG